rnacentral:rRNA from 1 species
GAUCAUGGCUCAGGAUGAACGCUAGCUACAGGCUUAACACAUGCAAGUCGAGGGGCAGCAGGACGAUAGCUGCUAUGUGCUGGCGACCGGCGCACGGGUGAGUAACGCGUAUCCAACCUUCCCCUUAGUAGGGCAUAGCCCGGUGAAAAUCGGAUUAAUACCCUAUGUUGUGUCAUGAGGACAUCUGAAUAACACUAAAGAUUUAUCGCUAAGGGAUGGGGAUGCGUCCGAUUAGGUAGUCGGCGGGGUAACGGCCCACCGAGCCCUCGAUCGGUAGGGGUUCUGAGAGGAAGGUCCCCCACACUGGUACUGAGACACGGACCAGACUCCUACGGGAGGCAGCAGUGAGGAAUAUUGGUCAAUGGGCGUAAGCCUGAACCAGCCAAGUAGCGUGCAGGAUGACGGCCCUAUGGGUUGUAAACUGCUUUUAUACGGGGAUAAAGUGAGGGACGUGUCCCUUAUUGUAGGUACCGUAUGAAUAAGGACCGGCUAAUUCCGUGCCAGCAGCCGC